UACGUAGGGGGCUAGCGUUAUCCGGAAUUACUGGGCGUAAAGGGUGCGUAGGUGGUUUCUUAAGUCAGAGGUGAAAGGCUACGGCUCAACCGUAGUAAGCCUUUGAAACUGGGGAACUUGAGUGCAGGAGAGGAGAGUGGAAUUCCUAGUGUAGCGGUGAAAUGCGUAGAUAUUAGGAGGAACACCAGUUGCGAAGGCGGCUCUCUGGUCCGUAACUGACACUGAGGCACGAAAGCGUGGGGAGCAAACAGG
rnacentral:rRNA from 1 species